UCAGUGGUUUGAUUGGCCAUUGACGCUCAUAUUGACGCUCGCAAGCGUUAGAAAAAAAGAAAACGAUAUUACAUUCAAAAACAAAGGCUCGAGACUGUGCAGUGCUGAUCUACAGAUUCACCGGGGAGAAGGAGGUGGACCUAAUGUCGACCUUUGUACCAGAGACGUUCAGAGGUCAAGGUGUCGCUGCACUGCUGUCACAGGCUGCCAUGGAGUUUCUGGUUGAAGAAAACCUCAAGGCUCGCGUCUCCUGUUGGUACAUACAGAAAUACGUUGAGGAUCAUCCGCUGCAGAAGUUUAAAGACGUGGUCAUCACGUGACUGAACGACCGCUUCACAUUAACGACGUUAAUGACCUCGAUGUGAAAAAAAUCCAAAACACUCUCCUUUGUCUGUGGACUCCACAGCAUCUAAAAGUGGUGGAUAUGAAUAAGAAAAAAAUCAAUUUUAUUGAUUCAAUUAACUGAAAAAUCCAGAGGGAAAAUCAGGGUUUAAAAAAACAUCAUAUUGAUUAUUUAAUGUUGAUCAACUUUUGCUGAUCUGAAACAGUUUAAUCUGUGUAUUCUGUGGAUUUUCUCACACACUUGUAAUUUUUUUAAAAAUGUAGGUGAAUACAAUAAAAUAUUUAAUCAA